rnacentral:rRNA from 1 species
AUUGAACGCUGGCGGCAGGCCUAACACAUGCAAGUCGAACGGUAACAGGAAGCAGCUUGCUGCUUUGCUGACGAGUGGCGGACGGGUGAGUAAUGUCUGGGAAACUGCCCGAUGGAGGGGGAUAACUACUGGAAACGGUAGCUAAUACCGCAUAACGUCGCAAGACCAAAGAGGGGGACCUUAGGGCCUCUUGCCAUCGGAUGUGCCCAGAUGGGAUUAGCUAGUAGGUGGGGUAACGGCUCACCUAGGUGACGAUCCCUAGCUGGUCUGAGAGGAUGACCAGCCACACUGGAACUGAGACACGGUCCAGACUCCUACGGGAGGCAGCAGUGGGGAAUAUUGCACAAUGGGCGCAAGCCUGAUGCAGCCAUGCCGCGUGUAUGAAGAAGGCCUUCGGGUUGUAAAGUACUUUCAGCGGGGAGGAAGGGAGUAAAGUUAAUACCUUUGCUCAUUGACGUUACCCGCAGAAGAAGCACCGGCUAACUCCGUG